GGUCGGUCCAAGUGCAGGGGUGUUUACAACUAAUUGAUCACAACCAGUUACAGAUUGCUUUGUUCCUUCUCCACUCCUCCCACUGCUUCACUUGACCAGCCUUAA
rnacentral:Y_RNA from 1 species